AGCGAACGCUGGCGGCAGGCCUAACACAUGCAAGUCGAACGAAGUCUUCGGACUUAGUGGCGGACGGGUGAGUAACACGUGGGAACGUGCCUUUAGGUUCGGAAUAACUCAGGGAAACUUGUGCUAAUACCGAAUGUGCCCUUCGGGGGAAAGAUUUAUCGCCUUUAGAGCGGCCCGCGUCUGAUUAGCUAGUUGGUGAGGUAAUGGCUCACCAAGGCGACGAUCAGUAGCUGGUCUGAGGGGAUGACCAGCCACAUUGGGACUGAGACACGGCCCAAACUCCUACGGGAGGCAGCAGUGGGGAAUUUUGCGCAAUGGGCGAAAGCCUGACGCAGCCAUGCCGCGUGGAUGAUGAAGGUCUUAGGAUUGUAAAAUCCUUUCACCGGUGAAGAUAAUGACUGUAGCCGGAGAAGAAGCCCCGGCUAACUUCGUGCCAGCCGCCGCAGUAAGAC
rnacentral:rRNA from 1 species